AGAUCGAUGAUGAGUUCCCAGAAAAACAUUCCUUGGAAAAUCUGAACAAAAUGAGUGAAACUCACUACAGUCUGUCU
rnacentral:snoRNA from 1 species